rnacentral:lncRNA from 1 species
GGGGACCCCCGGGGGAGGUGGGACCAGAGCCCCACGCAGCGGGGGGCAGUGGGAGCUGCGGAAUCUGGCUCUUGCGUGUCACCCCACUCCCCAUGACAGAGCCUCCCACGCAGCUGCAAGCAGAGGGCUCUGUGCAGCCCUGGCCCCCGGUCGGCUCUGGGGGCUGUGCCCCGGCGGUGGUCUAACCAGGUUAAGCAGCUGGUUCCUUCUGGAAGCUUCGCCCCGGGGCGAAGGCCUCACCUUCUUCCAUGGCCUCCAAGGCCCCGAGCCACCCCCCCGGCCCCUCCCCUGGGUGUGUGCGGGUGAGGGCUAGUGAAGGGCUUAGCCCAGGGUGUCCAAGACUGGAAACCGCCCCAGAAAGUUCGGGGGCCACUCUCAGCACCCUGCCUGCCCGGGCCCACCCCGCGCUGUGAUUGCUAAACUCCCCUGUGACAACGCUGGGGGCCGUUUCUGUGUCCUGCCACCUGGCCCCGCCCGCUUAGCUAGGCUGCCCCUGAGGACUCAGGACAGCAAGCGGAUCAGACAAGGCCCUGCCCUCACGGAGCGCGGGGAAGAGGCCAAGGACACCAGAAAGCUCAGGCGUCAGGCCAAGGGAGGCCCGUCUCGGCAGGGUCCUCUCUGAGAACAAGAGCGGACCGCUCUCUUAGCGGGCUGGGGGCGAGCCCACAGGGUGAGAACCACCAGUGUGUGGGAGCGGGAAAGGUAUCCGAGCUGAGGGAAUGGCAGAUGCAAAGGCCCUGGAGCAGAAGAACCACGGUGUCUCGCUGCAGUCUCUCUCACCUCAAGCAGUCGGCCUCGGCACCUCACGGCCCGUGGACAAACCUGGAAGCCCUUGCCUGGCCGUCGUUGGAGCCACGUGGCCCCAGGAGCGCCCGGGCUCAGCCCAGCCAAGACGUCCCCGAGCCUGGCUCAAGCUGCACACCGCCCACCUCCGCGUCCCCACACUCCCCCCCACCCCACCCCCGAGGGUGUCUUGCCCUGAGACCUGGGUGGGACCUCUCGUGUUCAGUGUCCAGAACUGGGCCUGGCUCACUGGGGAGAGAGCAAGGCGAACGCACGCAGACACACAGGCCUGACAAAGGCUCACAGCUGUUGACAGAAAGAGCCCGGGACACACCUAGAGGCGGCAGGAGAGACUUCACGCAGGCCCCUGCAGUGGGGAGAGACCCCACAAGGACUCCAGGGUUUAAAGGGAGAGCAGGAGUCUCCCGGUGGCUCAGCCAGUUAAGCAUCUGAGGCUGUCACUGCUGUGGCACAGUUUCGAUCCCUGGCUCAGAACUUCUUCAUGCCUCGAGUGCGGCCAAACAAUAAAUAAAUAAAGGGAU